UUUUUUAAUCAUUAAUGGUGGCCUUAUUCUUUUCUAUGUCUGGUCUCAUAAAAACUGGUACUUUUUAUUUCUUCUGGUCUCUCAUAAAGAUUCGUGCUUUUCCCUAUGGAAAUGGGUUGCUGGCCUUAGCAUUCAUUAUUUUGUUCAACUGAGGAGGCACAAGAUUAAUUCCCUGAAAAGAUCGAGUGGAGUUUUUUCACCCAAAAGAAGAAAGAAAGGUUUGAGCUUUAGUGUGCAAUGGCUUUGUUCAGAUGGGUUAAUUAAUUUGCGGGUGAAGGGUCAGCUCAGCAAGGCACCUCGGGUUUCAUCUCAGCUCACCAAACCCCUCAUGGGUUGCUUCAGACCAUCCUUGUCAGGUGCUUCAAAGGUUUUAUACCAAAAUCUCUCUAAGUUUUGGCCAGUGUCAUUGAUGGACUGGUAAAAUGGCUGUGAGAAAGACUACAGUUGGGACAUGUUUCACAGGUACUCUGGGGUCAAAUUGCUGAGACAGAUCAAUCCGGGUGAGAUGGAUAAGAAGACUAAGAAGGAGGGUUUUGAAAUUGGAUUUUGAAGGGCUCUGUGCAAAUUGUAGAGAUUUGUUCUGGCGGAGUGAUGUGAAUGAGUCUUGCAUAAAGAAAGAGGGAAAGAAUUUGCGAAUAGGAAAUGGUUUUGAGGAGUUUUUUCUGGAAGAACAUGAAUGUUCUUCACUCCCACAGCUUUCACAGUUCAUAGAAGGAAUUAGGAAAGACAGUCUUUGCUAAUGAGAUGGAGGUGCUUUGUAGGGCUCAAAAAAGACUUUUUUAUAUUUACAGAGGAACGUAUGCUUCUCUAUGUCGCUCUUUUGGCCCUUGGUUUCUCUUCCUAUCUGGUAAAUAUGUUCAGGAGGAAGGAUUUGCUGGAACAAGGCGUCAUGUGGGUGCCCCAUGCUUAUUGAGGAAGAACUUGAAAAUCUCAAUCUACAUCCAAGCUGUGCUCCAGCAUCAGAGGAGGGGCAACCUAAGGACAUAUUCGAUGAAUGAAACACUUCACUUGUGAAACAAAAAGUUCAAAAAUAAGAAGGUUUGCAUAUUUGCAUAUGGCCUAAUGGGUUCUGGAUUUCUAUAAUAACCUAUGCCAUGAAGGGACCUUGUUCAGACCAGACCAAGCUAGUUAUUCUCUUCAAGCCCAGGGCUGGAAAUACAGAAUGCAGAUGGGAAAGUUUGACAUGGGUUUUUAGAAUGGUUAUUCACCAAUUUUGGUUAACCAGAAGAACUCACUGGGAAAAUAUUCGUUCUUUGGUAUGCAAUGGUGGUCUGCGGCUUGAGGGGAUCAGGCCAGAGGUGACUCGAAAUGGGGAUAUGAAGAAAAAAACUAGGAGUGACAUGAAAACGCGAAAUGGUCACAGGAUGAAGGGUCAGCUGUGCAUCGCCUUGGGUUUUGCAAUAUAUGAAUGGCCACAGGGUGAAGGGUCGGCUGUUCAGGGCUCAUCAGGUUUCAUCUCAGCUCCAAGGCGCUGAUGGUUGCUUCAGACCAUCCUUGUCAGUUAAAGAACUACACAGCAUAUCACGUAAUUCCUGGAAGUAAUGAGCAGAUCGUUUGGAUUGGCAGAUAAAUUUCAUGAGGCCAUUUGGAGAUGUGGUCGGAGAUAUGAGGUCAUCUGAUUUUUGCUUAGCAGUAUGUGCUUGUUAUAAAGAAGUUGGGUUUUUGUAAAACAAGAGGGCACUUCCCAAGCAUAAUGUCACUGCCACGUGAUAGUGCAGGUUAUAUAAGGGAAACUACAAGCAAAACUCCGACUGUCCGGGGAGUAAUAUAAGGUGUGAUGUUUCAACUUUGAAUAUCAGUGUUCAUGUUUCUUCCAAAUCUGAUUAAGUACACGAUAUUGUAUUUCAGUGAAGGAGGAAGUCGGCGUUUGAUGUGCUUCCGCAACCUCAUUAGCAUAAGAAAUUCUAAUUCGUGAUUAUCUCGAGCAUUUUCCAUUUGUAUUUAGUUUUCCUUUGCUCGCUAUAAAGGAAUUGGGAGUGAUGCUCUGGUGGCCAAUUGAAUUGUACUCAGACGUGCACAACUGUCGUUGGAUUUAGAUCCAAAGAUGGAGAAUAUGAGGUAAAUAAAUUUGCUUCAACUGCCUCAUUAUUUUUCACUGUUGGAUCUAAAUCAAAGGGCAAUUGUGUUAAACUACAUGAUGCAAUAACAGAACACAUCAAUCACGAGAUCAAAUCAUACAACACACAUCAAGAACGAAUAAACCAGCUGCACAACAUCCAUGCAAUCUGCAGAAUAGCUUUCCUAGUGGCACUAGGACUCCACCUGGAUCAAUGACGCUCUGGAUCCCUGCAGAAACAGUUUGGCCUAGGUUCGACAUCUUGAGCAACUUGGAACAAGGAUUGAAUAGCAGCAGAACUUGAGCAGAAAGCCUUCUGUAUGUCAACACCAAAAGCUUCAGUUCUGUAUGUCAACACCAAAAGCUUCAUAAUGGGGCUGAACAAUAUGCAAACUGGUGAUGAAUACAGGGACUUUGCUCCCUAUUUAUAUUGGCCAAUAAACCCGAGCUGGACUCAUCCCAUAAGGAGUCCAAUACUUGCUUCAUGUUUAUCUUGAUAGGAGACUUGUUGUUUAUCACAAAUACUCAAUGUAAUUCAGGUUAAUUACUAAUGAGCUUCCUACUUCUAUUAAGAGACAUACUUCUCAAUAGAUGACCAGAAUUAGAGUUAUGAUUAUAUACUUCUUGUUAUUUAUGUAAAGAUAAAUUAAUUGGUUUUAUUCUUAA